GACGAACGCUGGCGGCGUGCCUAAUACAUGCAAGUCGAACGCUUCUUUCCUCCCGAGUGCUUGCACUCAAUUGGAAAGAGGAGUGGCGGACGGGUGAGUAACACGUGGGUAACCUACCCAUCAGAGGGGAUAACACUUGGAAACAGGUGCUAAUACCGCAUAACAGUUUAUGCCGCAUGGCAUAAGAGUGAAAGGCGCUUUCGGGUGUCGCUGAUGGAUGGACCCGCGGUGCAUUAGCUAGUUGGUGAGGUAACGACUCACCAAGGCCACGAUGCAUAGCCGACCUGAGAGGGUGAUCGGCCACACUGGGACUGAGACACGGCCCAGACUCCUACGGGAGGCAGCAGUAGGGAAUCUUCGGCAAUGGACGAAAGUCUGACCGAGCAACGCCGCGUGAGUGAAGAAGGUUUUCGGAUCGUAAAACUCUGUUGUUAGAGAAGAACAAGGACGUUAGUAACUGAACGUCCCCUGACGGUAUCUAACCAGAAAGCCACGGCUAACUACGUG
rnacentral:rRNA from 1 species